CUGGGAGGACCAUCUCCUAAGGCUAAAUACUCUCUAGUGACCGAUAGUGAACCAGUACCGUGAGGGAAAGGUGAAAAGCACCCCGGAAGGGGAGUGAAAUAGAACCUGAAACCGUGUGCUUACAAGUAGUCAGAGCCCGUUAAUGGGUGAUGGCGUGCCUUUUGUAGAAUGAACCGGCGAGUUACGAUUUGAUGCAAGGUUAAGCAGUAAAUGUGGAGCCGUAGCGAAAGCGAGUCUGAAUAGGGCGUUUAGUAUUUGGUCGUAGACCCGAAACCAGGUGAUCUACCCUUGGUCAGGUUGAAGUUCAGGUAACACUGAAUGGAGGACCGAACCGACUUACGUUGAAAAGUGAGCGGAUGAACUGAGGGUAGCGGAGAAAUUCCAAUCGAACCUGGAGAUAGCUGGUUCUCUCCGAAAUAGCUUUAGGGCUAGCCUCAAGUGAUGAUUAUUGGAGGUAGAGCACUGUUUGGACGAGGGGCCCCUCUCGGGUUACCGAAUUCAGACAAACUCCGAAUGCCAAUUAAUUUAACUUGGGAGUCAGAACAUGGGUGAUAAGGUCCGUGUUCGAAAGGGAAACAGCCCAGACCACCAGCUAAGGUCCCAAAAUAUAUGUUAAGUGGAAAAGGAUGUGGCGUUGCCCAGACAACUAGGAUGUUG
rnacentral:rRNA from 1 species